rnacentral:tRNA from 1 species
AUUUAUAUAAUAUAAAAAGUAUAUAUGACUUCCAAUCAUAAAGUCUAAUAAUUUAGUAUAAAUA